CUGGCGGUGUAAGACUGCAAGUCGAGCGCUGAUUACGGGGUAGCAAUAUUCCGUAGUCGGAGCGGCGCAAGGGUGCGUAACACGUGGGUAAUCUGCCAUGAAGUUUGGAAUAACUUGCUGAAAGGCGAGCUAAUGCCGGAUGUGAAAGCUGGGAGGCAUCUCCUGGUUUUCAAAGCUGGGGACCGCAAGGCCUGGCGCUUCAUGAUGAGCCCGCGGCCUAUCAGCUAGUUGGUAAGGUAACGGCUUACCAAGGCUAAGACGGGUAGCUGGUCUGAGAGGACGACCAGCCACACUGGAACUGAGACACGGUCCAGACACCUACGGGUGGCAGCAGUCGAGAAUUUUUCACAAUGGGCGCAAGCCUGAUGGAGCGACGCCGCGUGGGGGAUGAAUGGCUUCGGCCCGUAAACCCCUGUCAUUUGCGAUCAACCGUUGUUAUUUAAAAGAUGACAGCCUGAUAGCAGCGAAAGAGGAAGGGACGGCUAACUCUGUGCCAGCAGCCGCGGUAAUACAGAGGUCCCAAGCGUUGUUCGGAUUCACUGGGCGUAAAGGGUGCGUAGGUGGCGGGGUAAGUCGGAUGUGAAAUCUCCGAGCUCAGCUCGGAAAUGGCAUUGGAAACUACUCUGCUCGAGGGUUGGAGGGGGGACUGGAAUGCUUGGUGUAGCAGUGAAAUGCGUAGAUAUCAAGCGGAACACCAGUGGCGAAGGCGAGUCCCUGGACAACUCCUGACACUGAGGCACGAAAGCUAGGGGAGCAAACAGGAUUA
rnacentral:rRNA from 1 species